rnacentral:rRNA from 2 species
CAUAGCCGACCUGAGAGGGUAAUCGGCCACACGGGGACUGAGACACGGCCCAGACUCCUACGGGAGGCAGCAGUAGGGAAUCUUCCACAAUGGACGAUAGUCUGAUGGAGCAACGCCGCGUGAGUGAACAAGGUUUUCGGAUCGUAAAACUCUGUUGUUGGACAAGAACGUAUUUGAUAGUAACUGAUCAGGUAGUGACGGUAUCCAACCAGAAAGCCACGGCUAACUACGUGCCAGCAGCCGCGGUAAUACGUAGGUGGCAAGCGUUGUCCGGAUUUAUUGGGCGUAAAGCGAGCGCAGGCGGUUUCUUAAGUCUGAUGUGAAAGCCUUCGGCUCAACCGAAGAAGUGCAUCGGAAACUGGGAAACUUGAGUGCAGAAGAGGACAGUGGAACUCCAUGUGUAGCGGUGAAAUGCGUAGAUAUAUGGAAGAACACCAGUGGCGAAGGCGGCUGUCUGGUCUGUAACUGACGCUGAGGCUCGAAAGCAUGGGUAGCAAACAGGAUUAGAUACCCUGGUAGUCCAUGCCGUAAACGAUGAGUGCUAGGUGUUGGAGGGUUUCCGCCCUUCAGUGCCGCAGCUAACGCAUUAAGCACUCCGCCUGGGGAGUACGACCGCAAGGUUGAAACUCAAAGGAAUUGACGGGGGCCCGCACAAGCGGUGGAGCAUGUGGUUUAAUUCGAAGCAACGCGAAGAACCUUACCAGGUCUUGACAUCCUUUGACCACUCUAGAGAUAGAGCUUUCCCUUCGGGGACAAAGUGACAGGUGGUGCAUGGUUGUCGUCAGCUCGUGUCGUGAGAUGUUGGGUUAAGUCCCGCAACGAGCGCAACCCUUAUUACUAGUUGCCAGCAUUUAGUUGGGCACUCUAGUGAGACUGCCGGUGACAAACCGGAGGAAGGUGGGGACGACGUCAAAUCAUCAUGCCCCUUAUGACCUGGGCUACACACGUGCUACAAUGGAUGGUACAACGAGUCGCGAGACCGCGAGGUUUAGCUAAUCUCUUAAAACCAUUCUCAGUUCGGAUUGUAGGCUGCAACUCGCCUACAUGAAGCCGGAAUCGCUAGUAAUCGCGGAUCAGCAUGCCGCGGUGAAUACGUUCCCGGGCCUUGUACACACCGCCCGUCACACCAUGAGAGUUUGUAACACCCAAAGCCGGUGA